AGCCGUGAUAGAAGACACUAUUUGCCCAAUUAAUCUAUUCAAAUUCGUAUAGGUUGGUCUUUCUAUAUCUAAGUUUCGCCUGCAGAUAUCGUAGAUCGCCUCGUUAUCGACAAGGAACGCGCAGUCCGAGUGUUCUAGUGUCGUAUGCGUAGUUAAGAUGGCAUUGUAAGGUUCUACCACCGCGGUGGAAAUUUGUGGAGAGGGAUAAAUGGCGAACUCGAGCUUAGCUUUCUUGCCAUAGUCCAUGGAGAGGCGCUCCAUUAGAAGGCUGGUGAAUCCUGAACCGGUACCACCGCCGAAUGCGUGGAAAAUUAGGAAUCCUUGGAGACCGGUGCACAUAUCGGCGAUCUUGCGAAUUCUGUCCAGAACCAGGUCGAUUAUUUCCUUUCCCAGAGUAUAGUGCCCUCGAGCGUAAUUGUUCGCCGCGUCCUCUUUACCGGAAAUUAGUUGUUCGGGGUGAAAUAGCUGAUGGUAGGUUCCUGUCCGAACUUCGUCUAAAAUGUAGAACGUUUGGGGAUGUUGGAAAUCGAGAUUUUUGUCACUUUCUUACAUUCUUAUGGCAUGUAUCAUAUUUUAUAACCAGACUGCGAAUAUUUAUGUUAGAAUAAAGUAUGACACGACAAAGAACUACAAGAUGAUUUGCUCAGAGCAAUUUUUAAAUAAAAUUUAUGUUAUUUAAAUUAAAUCUACCAAUGACUGUGGGCUCAAGGUCCAGAAAUACAGCCCGUGGGACGUAUUUUCCACCGCCGGUCUCGCUGAAGAAAGUUUGAAAACCCUCAUCGCUAGAACAGCUCUGAGGCGGAAGCAUGCCAUCAGGCAAUUAUUGGAAUAUUUUCUUAUACGAGAAAAUUAAAUAAAUAAUUACCAUUAUGGCGAAUUAUCGGUAAUCGGUGGAACAAAAAGUAGGCUAGACGAAUCUUCACAGGAUGAACGUCCGAAUUCAACUGAAUGAACGACACAUUUUGUGAAAGGAUUUUGUUUCCGUUGCUAAGAAAUAACAAUUUGUAAUGAAACAUACGGUGUUUCAAUUGCAAACUACAGAAUCGCUUCUUACAUUGAUUUUGAGUUUUCAAGAAAUUAUUUCAUUAUUUC
rnacentral:misc_RNA from 1 species